CGGACCCGGGUAUGUCCUUAAACUAUGUCCAAAAGAGAGGUAUGGGCAUUGCGAAUGACAUCUCGCUUUGUGUGGUAGGGCACAGGACAGCGGGUGUCAUUCCAGAUCUAGAGCAGAGCCCAACUGGGGAAGUACCUCCACCUUACAGAAAACCGCAGCCAAAUAACACUAGACCCUACACAUAGUGUUGUGUUCCUGCCGGUGAGUAAGGUUGCCAGAGCUCAACGAGGGAGAGGAUGUUAGUGUCGGCAACGCGCAUGUAAUUCCUCUGGAGUUGCAGGCGUCCAUAGGCUACGGUGACUGCUUGCCAUCAGGCGGGCCGUAUGCUUGUUUGCCACCGACGUAGUAUAAAAAAAUAACACCAAAACUUGUCACUACGCAUUUUGUACUGAUUAUUAUCAAAAUAUAUUGAGACAUUAAGUAGUAUGAUAGGCAAUUUAUAAUAAUUAUUAUAACAUAACAAAAGUAUAUCCGACCCGGGUAUGUCCUUAAACUACGUCCAAAAGAGAGGUAUGGGCACUGUGAAUAACAUCUCGCUUUGUGUGGUAGGGCACAGGACAGCGGAUGUCAUUCCAGAUCUAGAGCAGAGCCCAACUGGGGAGGUACCUCCACCUUACAGAAAACCGCAGCCAAAUAACACUAGACCCUACUAAUAGUGUUGUGUUCCUGCCGGUGAGUAAGGUUGCCAGAGCUCGAGGGAGAGGAGUGUUAGGGUCGGCAACGCGCAUGUAACUCCUCUGGAGUUGCAGGCGUACAUAGGCUAUGGAGACUGCUUAACAUCAGGCGGGCCGUAUGCUUGUUUGCCACCGACGUAGUAUAAAAAAAAGUCAAUGUAAUAUCGCACAUAUUUGGCACUAGUUGUAGUUCAUUUUGAUCUUAAAUUGUACAUUGUAUUUUUUAACCUAUGUUGACAGUGUAUAUGAUCAGUAAAUUCAGUACCUAUAAAUAAAUCUAUAUGUUUCGCUAUAUUUAUAAUUCUAUAUCCUCCUAUUGUCAGUAGGCAGGAGGGUUGUUAUCUAAAAGGUAUGCUAUCAGUGCCGGAUAAACCAGUGAUCAAAUAAAGCAGUUGCUUGGGGCUUUAUGUAUAGAAGGCACCAACAUUUCAGGGAAUUGGAGAGAGGAGCAAACUGUGGUGCGCAGAUGAUUAGAACUUAUCAUCUUCCUCGCGUUAUCCCGCCAUUUUGCCACGGCUCAUGGGAGCCUGGGGUCCGCUUGACAACUAAUCCUAAGAAUUGACGUAGGCACUAGUUUUUACGAAAGCGACUGCCAUCUGACCUUCCAACCCAGAGGGGGAACUAGGCCUUGUUAGGAUUAGUCCGGUUUACUCCCGAUGUGUUCCUUCAGCGAAAAGCGACUGGUAAAUAUCAAAUGAUAUUUCGUACAUAAGUUCUGAAAAACUCAUUGGUACGAGCCGGGGUUUGAACCCGCGACCUCCGGAUUGAAAGUGCAGAUG